UACGGAGGGUGCGAGCGUUGUUCGGAAUCACUGGGCUUAAAGCGCGUGUAGGCGGCAAGUUAAGUGUUGGGUGAAAGCCCUCGGCUCAACCGAGGAACGGCCUGGCAAACUGGCUUGCUUGAGGUACGUAGAGGUGACUGGAACGACGGGUGGAGCGGUGAAAUGCGUAGAUAUCCGUUGGAACGCCGGAGGCGAAAGCGGGUCACUGGGCGUAUCCUGACGCUGAGACGCGAAAGCGUGGGUAGCAAACAGG
rnacentral:rRNA from 1 species